rnacentral:rRNA from 1 species
AGGACGAACGCUGGCGGCGUGCUUAACACAUGCAAGUCGAGCGGAAAGGCCCUUCGGGGUACUCGAGCGGCGAACGGGUGAGUAACACGUGAGCAAUCUGCCCCUAGCUCUGGGAUAGCUCCGGGAAACCGGGAUUAAUACCAGAUACAACCACUUUAGACAUCUUUUGUGGUGGAAAGGAUUCCGGCUAGGGAUGAGCUCGCGGCCUAUCAGCUUGUUGGUUGGGGUAACGGCCCACCAAGGCGACGACGGGUAGCCGGCCUGAGAGGGCGACCGGCCACACUGGGACUGAGACACGGCCCAGACUCCUACGGGAGGCAGCAGUGGGGAAUAUUGCGCAAUGGGCGAAAGCCUGACGCAGCGACGCCGCGUGGGGGAUGAAGGCCUUCGGGUUGUAAACCCGUUUCAGCAGGGACGAAGCGAAGUGACGGUACCUGCAGAAGAAGCGCCGGCUAACUACGUGCCAGCAGCCGC